rnacentral:rRNA from 1 species
AGAACGAACGCUGGCGGCAGGCUUAACACAUGCAAGUCGAACGCCCCGCAAGGGGAGUGGCAGACGGGUGAGUAACACGUGGGAACGUGCCCUAAGGUUUGGAAUAUUCCCGGGAAACUGGGAGCAAUACCAAAUGUGUCCGCAAGGAGAAAGAUUUAUCGCCUUAGGAUCGGCCCGCGUUGGAUUAGCUAGUUGGUGGGGUAAAAGCCUACCAAGGCGACGAUCCAUAGCUGGUCUGAGAGGACGACCAGCCACACUGGGACUGAGACACGGCCCAGACUCCUACGGGAGGCAGCAGUGGGGAAUCUUGGACAAUGGGCGCAAGCCUGAUCCAGCCAUGCCGCGUGAGUGAUGAAGGCCUUAGGGUUGUAAAACUCUUUCGCCGAGGACGAUAAUGACGGUACUCGGAGAAGAAGCUCCGGCUAACUACGUGCCAGCAGCCGC